rnacentral:rRNA from 1 species
CCUACGGGAGGCAGCAGUGGGGAAUAUUGGACAAUGGGCGAAAGCCUGAUCCAGCCAUGCCGCGUGUGUGAAGAAGGCCUUCGGGUUGUAAAGCACUUUCAGUGGGGAAGAAAGCCUUGGGGCUAAUACCCUCGAGGAAGGACAUCACCCACAGAAGAAGCACCGGCUAACUCCGUGCCAGCAGCCGCGGUAAUACGGAGGGUGCGAGCGUUAAUCGGAAUUACUGGGCGUAAAGCGCGCGUAGGCGGUCUGAUAAGCCGGUUGUGAAAGCCCCGGGCUCAACCUGGGAACGGCAUCCGGAACUGUCAGGCUAGAGUGCAGGAGAGGAAGGUAGAAUUCCCGGUGUAGCGGUGAAAUGCGUAGAGAUCGGGAGGAAUACCAGUGGCGAAGGCGGCCUUCUGGACUGGCACUGACGCUGAGGUGCGAAAGCGUGGGUAGCAAACAGGAUUAGAUACCCGAGUAGUC